UCUCAACCCUAUCAUGGCCAUCGUUCAUUUCCAGACAUUCCCAUUCUUUCUUAACGUAGAGGGCUGCACCACUGCCUUUCCUGCCUUGCCUCUCUCUUUUGCAAAGUCGCUAGCCAUCCAUCACAGCACUCCAGCUGUGUGAGUCAUUCCACCACGUUUCUGUGAUUUUUCUCCUGUUUUUUGAUUCCAACAAAAGCCACGUAGGAUUAUUUUGAUUGUUAUUCUUUUUUUAAUGGCAGGCAUUGUGUUCAACUUAAGAAAUGAACACAUGAAGAAUAGCUUUGUUUGCAUUCUGGUAACUGCUGAGGCUUUGGCUGACGACAGCUUUCAGCUGCACCUGAACUAGGCUGGAUUUGUCUCCUGCUCUCCAUAGAUACCUUGGUGUCACUGGAAUCCAUGGAGCUGACACAGUCCUCUGAUGGCUGGAUUUCUGCUUGCUAAGGGUAUUCCUUCUGGUUUCUUGGCUUUUCAGGUGAUUUUUGCUUUGCUUUCCUUGGCUUUUUAGUACUUCCUCCUUCUGUUAUUGCUCCUGGCUUUGUUUUGCUUUGCUCUUUGGUUUUUCUUUUGUAUCUUUGCCUUGCAUUGCUCGAGAAUUUUCGUUUCUUCCUUCUCUUCAGUGCUAAGCAUUGGUGAGUGUUUUUCUCUUUGUACUGUGUUUGGCUUCUUUGGUUUGCCACGAUAUACACGAGUAAAGCAAAUGAAUGGAAUGCAGUAUGGUGACUUGUUUGAAUUGCUUUGUUUUCCUCGUUUGGUUGUUUUUCCCCUGUUGCUUUUCAGUAGUGCGCCUUUUGCUUUGCUUUCCAUUGUCUUUGUGUCUGGUUGGUUUUUUUUGGUUCUUUGUUCUCGUUACCUGUUCCUUUCUUUGCAUUAGCUUCUUCCUCCCAGAGGAGAGCAUUCCUUGCCUUUUCAGAGGAUGGUUCUUGGCUUUGCUUGGAGUUUCUCCCUUGCUCUUCAUUCUUGGUUGCCUUACCUGGCUUUGCCUUCCUUGUCCCCUUGCCCCGGCCUUGCUCUUCCUUUGCCUUCACUUACCUGAUGUGCUCUCUCCCUUGAUUGUUCUCUUCUGUCUGUUCCUUUCUGGCUUCUUGAACUGCAGCCUCCUCUCUGGGCUUUCCUGCCGUGCUUGAUGCAUUUGCAGCUCCUUGGAGUUUCCCAGGUGGGUCCACGCCUCCUGGGCCUCCUUGCCUCUUCCCUUGUGGUGCUCUUGUGGCUUUUUCUCCAGCUGGCUGGAUCCAUGCGGGCCUAUUGCCCCAUUUUCUCGGCAUUGGUGUAUGUGGAUUGUUCUCUGUCAUCUUCCCAGGCCUAGAUGCUGAGCUUUUGCCUCUUCCAGGCUCUGUUGUCAUCUUUGCUUUUCCGUGAGAGUGUAUUCUGUUCUGUUAUUGUUGGUUGCUUGUUUUUGAAUGUGGUGUUUGUUGUUGUUUCAUUUAUUGUUAUUGGCUUUCUUUGAUGUGCGUGGGGUUUUUUGUUCUUUUUUUCAGUUUGGUGCUUUUUUUUUCUUUGCUGUUCCUUUCUUUGCACUGUAUUUUUUUCCUAGCAGCGUUUCUAUUCCUUUCUCUUCUACUAGAAAUUGUAGCUCCUAACACUAAUCCAAGUGUAUAAACCAAAAGUCUGAACUCUAAAUCACACAGGUGUAUGGGAACUGUAUAAUCACAGCCUGACCCUCUGUUUGACCACCUGAGGCGAGUGCUGAGUCAGCUGCAGGGGCACAGGUGAUGGCAGUUUCAGCUGAGUGACCGGAAGGGGUGGACCCUGGCUGCAGCCCUGCUAGACCCCAUGUAAGGGCUGACUCCCAAGGAGGAAGGAUCUCUACCUGGAGGUCACCCUUAGUGGAGCCCUUCUGCGCGCCCAGGGUACGGGUAAGCUUUUUAUGUCAUUCCUCCUUUGGAAACGCGCUCAUCUCUCUGCUCCUUUACCUGUUUGCCUUACAAUCUGUUUGCCAUACACACAGGUAAUGUUUAACCCUCCUAAUGGGUAGCCCUGAAGCCUUUUCUGUAAAUGCAACAGGGAUGGCGUUAGCCCUCAUCAAGUAAGGGCCACCCUUAGUCCUAACAGCAAAGGGUAGCCCUGAAGGAUUCCCUUUUUGGUUAUGGUUAACUCUAAUCCAAUGUGGUAACCGUUCACCUGUCACUGAAGGGAAGCCCUUCAUCCUAACCUACUAUGGUAACUCUUCAUCCUAAACGCUAGCCUCUAACAGUAACCUUUAAGCCAAUCCUUAGGGGUUUUCCUGAAGCCUUUGCACUGACUGAACUUGGUAGCAUUUCCACGUGAAGCCUUAUCUAAUGCAGUAACCCGCCAAUCUGAUGCCAAAGGGUAACGGUCCGCAGUUAGUAGUAAGACUAAAUAGUAGCACUUAACCGUAAUCCAGCAGGGGAUGAGGCCGAGCUUGUCUUCUGCCAGGGCUGCUCUCAGCCCCAGGGCACGGCGAGCGGCUGCGGGCAGUGCAUCUCCCAGCUGAGGUGCCUGUAGACAUCUGCCAGCUGUCCUUGUGGACGGCCCGUCAUCGUCAUGGAAACUGAUUGUAACAGCACAAAGGUUCCAGGAGCGUGGGUGAUGUCAGCUGUGACAUCCUCUGGGGGGCCUGGAGCCGCCCUUUUUUGGCCUUGCAGCCCAUCAAGCCAAAGCCUGCUGUCCUGCACGUGGUCCCACCGGGCAGAAACUCUUGGGACGGAGGUAGGUUCAGGGGAGGGGACAGAUGCCUGAGGGCAUUCUUUGAUUCCAUCCCGAGAGUUGUCUUUGUCUUUGUUCUUUCCAUGUCGUGUGGUUUUCCUUUGCUUUUCCUUUUGCUAUUUAACUUCUUUUCUUUCUUUUAUGCUUCUUUCUCUGUUGCUUUGCGUGGCAUUGCUUUGUUUGUUUGUUGGGGUUUUUUUUCCCUUCUUUUCAGGCCAAGCCCCAGGGGCUGCUAGGGCAAUGUCCUCACUUGGAGGGGGAGGCUGGGUUUCCCAUCUGAGGGCUUCAUGCACCAAUUGCAAGGAAAACUCAGACACAGAGCAAUGCUAAGCAAAGGCACGCCUUUUCUGAGACACUGUCUCAAGCUCCCGGAGCUCUUUUUUCCUACGAGGUAACUCCCCUGCUUUUUUCCAACUCUUAUUACAACAAGAGAGAUUUCCAUCGCUCUUACAACAGCUCGCCAAAUAAUGUUCUUACCCACAGAAGCUUUCCCUUUUCUCAGUAAGAGUCGCUCUAAUCCCGGGCUGAUUCCCUAAAACCAAGUGUAAUUUUUCUCCUUCGCAGAAACCAGUCACCAACAGAAGUUGUCCUGUUAGCCCACAUCCACCAAAAAUCCCUCAAAUACACUAUUCUUACAGCCAAACCAGACCAUUUUCUGUUCAGUUGCAGUGCACUUGCGGACCGUAUUUCUGGUCUUGUUCCUGCUGAGGUAGUGGUAAAGAAACCCCAGUCUGCCUGACAGCAAUACAUUGCUCAGAGUGAAGCUGCUGGAGCACACAAAAUGCUGUCAGGCGUCCGAGCUGAGCAACAGACUUCAUUCCUGAAUUGCACAGCUACCAGUAGAAGUGACCUCCACGCUGUUUGGCCUGUCCAAGGAGUUCACGCAGCUCUGAGUACCCCCAUUUCUACACAGAGUGGUAUCCCCCAUCGGCUAUCAGCUGCUACUGUAAGCUUUUUUUUGCUGCUUGAAGCCAGAGGGGCCAGACCCAGCUGGCCCUUAGGGACCUCCUUUGACCCAGGCCUCCAACGGAAGUGUACCACUGGUUAACCCAGAAUGGCAACUGUAGACCAAGGCUAUCACGGGCACAGUUUUCAGUUGCCCAGGGGGUGGAAGGGAUUCAGUCCAGUAAAUGAAGAUGGAACUGCUUACCCCUUUGUGAAGAAGAGGGCUCACACCAUACUAAACAAGAGCAGAAUUUGAAGCAGUGAUCCUUCCCUUGGGGCAGCCAGCCCUGAAAUGAGGUGAGGGAGGGGUGGAACCAGGCUGCCCCCCUUUGUCAUCCAGGUGAAUUGCUUCCCUCUUUUUGCUCCUGAGCAGAACAAGAUUUGAUGAGGAGGAAAGCCUGUGAAGUCCAACAAGACUGCUUUCAUACUUCCUUCCCGUUUGUGUUAGCUGGCUGUCACGGAGUGAUCUAGAUCAGUGUAUGCCUGUGGCGGGGCAGUGGGCCUGUUUUCCUGUGUUUGGCUUCCUUGCUUUGCCAUGAUGCUGUCUUGAGUUCAUGUGCUGGACUCUUGUAUUUCGUGUCUUUGUUUUGCUUUGCUCUGUUUUCCUUGUUGUUUGCCGUUCUUUUGUCAGUCUUGCUUUAUUGCUGCUCCUGUGUUGCAAUACCUUGGUUUUGUUCAGAUGUGGUGAUUGAUACUUUUCCCUUUCCCAUUCUUGGAACUCUUUUCUCCCUCCUUCAGGGUGUUCCUCUUUGUUUCUCGGCUUUUCAGGUGAUUUGGCUUUGCCUUCCUUGGCUUUUUGGAACUUGGGAAAAGGUACCGAGGUACAUGGAUAUGGAGAAGAGAAGCUCUCCUGCUGUGGCUGAGAGGUGAUCCAAAGGAGGCCUCCCGAGCAAGCACCGCAAAGGCAGCUUGCUUCUCCAGAGGCUGCAGCAUAAGCUCGUGUUCCUUGCGGAGGACUGCGUUGUGCAUCUGCAGGAGCUGCUUUGGCAUGGAGGAUUUUGUGGAGUUGCUGCCAGUUGUUGCUCGGAUGAAGUGAGGCUUUUGUCCUUGUAUCUGUGCAGGAAAGCAGUGCGGAGGGAACGUGUGUGGUGAGAUGCUGAGGAGAGAUUGCCUCCCUUGCCCCAGCAGGCUGCUUGUGUCCUGGUGAUGCACGGUGACGAGAAGGCUGCUGUUCUGUGAGUAAGCCUGCCACGUGGGAGUAAUGGUUGUGGCCUUUUGGGCAAGUCUCUGAGGAGAGGUCUUUGGGCAGGCUGGUUGUUUUGCUGGGCAAGUGCCAUUUGAGUUGUUUGUUGCCAUGCUUGGUUGGUGCUUGUUUGAGAAAUAGUGGUCCUCUUGACGAGCAGUGCUCUGUCAGCAGGGGAGUGAGAAAUGUCAUGUCCACCCAGUCUUCUCCACGAGCCUUACGCUGCCUUUCCCCAUUGUCUGUAAAUGGCUGUAGAAAUGGCAGGGGGAGAAGUAGGGAAGAGGGUUUCUGUGCAUCUCUUAGCAGGUGUCAGCUCCUAAGAGCUGGGAGCCCUGCAGAGCGUCCUGGCUUUGUUUUGCUUCCUUGUUGGAGCUGUUGGGAUGCUUUUGUGGGUGCUUUGUGCGUUUGAAGUCCCUGUGAACUCUGCAGAGACCAGUGGUGUCCUAGGGAGAGCCCCGCUGCCCCCUUUUUGUUGGGGCUGUUUUCUUCCCUCUGGAGGUUGAAAGGGCCUUCAGAAACCCAGCAGUACGACUUGCUGCUGCUCCAGCCUGUCAAGUGGAGAUGAUGAAGUGUGACGGCCAUUGGGGCAGGGAGGAAAGCAGCUAAGAAAUGGUGUUCCCGUAGACUGUGUGGAGCUUGUUGUUGUGAAACGGUCCCUUGUGCUGCCAGAAUCUCUCUGCCUUUCAGUCAUGGCCUCUUCCUCCUGGCUUUCAAGAUGUUCAGAGGCAUUGCUAAGAAAGAGCGAGCAGAGCUCUUCCUAGGCCAUGGCAGAGUUCACCUUUCCAGGUGUAUGCCAGAGCAUGAAGCAUGGUCAACAAGCACGGGGUAGCAGCAGCUGGAAACAGGGGAAGCUUCCACAGAGCCCCCCGCUGGAGUCCCAGGGUGAUGAGCUGAAGCUGAUUUGGGCAGCAUGAAACCCGGUGGUUUUCCGGGCUGUGUGCCGUAUAGGGCUCAGGGCUGUCACUGGGGUUGCUUUCACAGGACGCCCCCCAGCCCAGCUCAGGACCCACGGUGAGUCUGUGGGUGACAAAUGUGUCACUGAGAGACAGCAUCAGGGUGGGAAUGCAUGGACCAUAGCGCCCAGGGCAGAGCCAAGCGGUGCUGUGGUUGGGGGGGGG
ensembl:lncRNA